rnacentral:rRNA from 1 species
AUUGAACGCUGGCGGCAGGCCUAACACAUGCAAGUCGAACGAGUGGCGGACGGGUGAGUAAUGUCUGGGAAACUGCCUGAUGGCGGGGGAUAACUACUGGAAACGGUAGCUAAUCCCGCAUACCAUCGGAUGUGCCCAGCUGGGAUUAGCUAGUAGGUGGGGUAACGGCUCACCUAGGCGACGAUCCCUAGCGGGUCUGAGAGGAUGACCGGCCACGCUGGAACUGAGACACGGUCCAGAAUCCUACGGGAGGCAGCAGUGGGGAAUAUUGCGCAAUGGGCGCAAGCCUGAUGCAGCCAUGCCGCGUGUAUGAAGAAGGCCUUCGGGUUGUAAAGUACUUUCAGCGGGGAGGCGGUACCCGCAGAAGAAGCACCGGCUAACUCCGUGCCAGCAGCCGCGGUAAUAC